UGGGGAAUUUUGGACAAUGGGGGCAACCCUGAUCCAGCAAUGCCGCGUGUGUGAAGAAGGCCUUCGGGUUGUAAAGCACUUUUGUCCGGAAAGAAAACGUCGUGGUUAAUACCCGUGGCGGCUGACGGUACCGGAAGAAUAAGCACCGGCUAACUACGUGCCAGCAGCCGCGGUAAUACGUAGGGUGCAAGCGUUAAUCGGAAUUACUGGGCGUAAAGCGUGCGCAGGCGGUCCGCUAAGACAGAUGUGAAAUCCCCGGGCUUAACCUGGGAACUGCAUUUGUGACUGGCGGGCUAGAGUAUGGCAGAGGGGGGUAGAAUUCCACGUGUAGCAGUGAAAUGCGUAGAGAUGUGGAGGAAUACCGAUGGCGAAGGCAGCCCCUGGGCCAAUACUGACGCUCAUGCACGAAAGCGUGGGGAGCAAACAGGAUUAGAUACCCUGGUAGUCCACGCCCUAAACGAUGUCAACUAGUUGUCGGGUCUUCAUUGACUUGGUAACGUAGCUAACGCGUGAAGUUGACCGCCUGGGAGUACGGUCGCAAGAUUAAAACUCAAAUGAAUUGACGGGGUC
rnacentral:rRNA from 1 species